UACGUAGGGGGCAAGCGUUGUCCGGAAUCAUUGGGCGUAAAGCGCGCGUAGGCGGUUCGGUAAGUCGGGUGUGAAAACACGAGGCUCAACCUCGUGCGUGCAUCCGAUACUGCCGGACUAGAGGUAGGUAGGGGAGAUCGGAAUUCCUGGUGUAGCGGUGAAAUGCGCAGAUAUCAGGAGGAACACCGGUGGCGAAGGCGGAUCUCUGGGCCUUACCUGACGCUCAGGCGCGAAAGCUAGGGGAGCGAACAGG
rnacentral:rRNA from 1 species